rnacentral:rRNA from 1 species
GAUGAACGCUAGCUACAGGCUUAACACAUGCAAGUCGAGGGGUAACGAGAGGAAAGCUUGCUCUCCUUGUCGACGACCGGCGCACGGGUGAGUAACGCGUAUCCAACCUGCCCCCAACUAAGGAAUAACCUUGCGAAAGUAAGACUAAUACCUUAUAAUUUCCUCAGAUGUCAUCUGACGAGGAAUAAAGAUUUAUCGGUUGUGGAUGGGGAUGCGUCUGAUUAGCUUGUUGGCGGGGUAACGGCCCACCAAGGCAACGAUCAGUAGGGGUUCUGAGAGGAAGGUCCCCCACAUUGGAACUGAGACACGGUCCAAACUCCUACGGGAGGCAGCAGUGAGGAAUAUUGGUCAAUGGGCGGAAGCCUGAACCAGCCAAGUAGCGUGCAGGAUGACGGCCCUAUGGGUUGUAAACUGCUUUUAUACAGGAAUAAAGUUAGCCACGUGUGGUUAUUUGUAGGUACUGUAUGAAUAAGGACCGGCUAAUUCCGUGCCAGCCGCCGCAGUAAUAC